AUUGAACGCUGGCGGCAUGCCUUACACAUGCAAGUCGAACGGUAACAGGUCUUCGGAUGCUGACGAGUGGCGAACGGGUGAGUAAUACAUCGGAACGUGCCUAGUAGUGGGGGAUAACUACUCGAAAGAGUAGCUAAUACCGCAUGAGAUCUACGGAUGAAAGCAGGGGAUCGCAAGACCUUGUGCUACUAGAGCGGCCGAUGGCAGAUUAGGUAGUUGGUGGGAUAAAAGCUUACCAAGCCGACGAUCUGUAGCUGGUCUGAGAGGACGAUCAGCCACACUGGGACUGAGACACGGCACAGACUCCUACGGGAGGCAGCAGUGGGGAAUUUUGGACAAUGGGCGCAAGCCUGAUCCAGCAAUGCCGCGUGCAGGAUGAAGGCCUUCGGGUUGUAAACUGCUUUUGUACGGAACGAAAAGCCCUGGGUUAAUACCCUGGGGUCAUGACGGUACCGUAAGAAUAAGCACCGGCUAACUACGUGCCAGCCGCCGCAGUAAAAC
rnacentral:rRNA from 1 species